GACGAACCGUGCAAACGUUGUUCGGAAUCACUGGGCUUAAAGGGCGCGUAGGCGGGUGGCCAAGUCAGGGGUGAAAUCUUUCGGCUCAACCGGAAAAUUGCCUUUGAUACUGGCCGUCUUGAGGGAGGUAGGGGCAUGUGGAACUUCCGGUGGAGCGGUGAAAUGCGUUGAUAUCGGAAGGAACGCCGGUGGCGAAAGCGACGUGCUGGACCUCUUCUGACGCUGAGGCGCGAAAGCUAGGGGAGCGAACGGG
rnacentral:rRNA from 1 species